rnacentral:rRNA from 1 species
UACGAAGGGGGCUAGCGUUGCUCGGAAUCACUGGGCGUAAAGCGCACGUAGGCGGCUUGUUAAGUCAGGGGUGAAAUCCUGGAGCUCAACUCCAGAACUGCCUUUGAUACUGGCGGACUCGAGUCCGGGAGAGGUGAGUGGAACUGCGAGUGUAGAGGUGAAAUUCGUAGAUAUUCGCAAGAACACCAGUGGCGAAGGCGGCUCACUGGCCCGGUACUGACGCUGAGGUGCGAAAGCGUGGGGAGCAAACAGG